UGGUCGCGAUUCGCCUUAGAGUUUGAUCCUGGCUCAGGACGAACGCUAGCGGUGCGCCUUACGCAUGCAAGUCGAACGCCCUUCAGUAGCAAUACAGGAGGGAGUGGCGAACGGGUGAGUAACACGUAAGUAACCUGCCGGGGAAAGGGGAAUAAUCUCCCGAAAGGGGGACUAAUUCCGCAUAAUCUCCACUGACGAUGUCGGUGGAGGAAAGCUCCCGCAAGGGGGCGAUCCCUGAGGGGCUUGCGUCCUAUCAGCUAGUUGGCGGGGUAACGGCCCACCAAGGCAGAGACGGGUAGCUGGUCUGAGAGGAUGACCAGCCACAUUGGGACUGAGACACGGCCCAGACUCCUACGGGAGGCAGCAGCGGGGAAUCUUGCGCAAUGGGCGAAAGCCUGACGCAGCGACACCGCGUGGGGGAUGAAGGCCUUCGGGUUGUAAACCUCUUUUGUUGGGGAAGAUGAUGACGGUACCCAACGAAUAAGUCUCGGCUAACUACGUGCCAGCAGCCGCGGUAAGACGUAGGAGGCAAGCGUUGUCCGGAUUUAUUGGGCGUAAAGGGGGUGUAGGCGGCUUGCUAAGUCGGGGGUGAAAGACCUUGGCUCAACCAAGGAGAGUCCUCCGAGACUGGCAGGCUUGAGGGCAGCAGAGGAGAGCGGAAUUCCCGGUGUAGUGGUGAUAUGCGUAGAUAUCGGGAGGAACGCCAGUGGCGAAAGCGGCUCUCUGGGCUGUUCCUGACGCUGAGGCCCGAAAGCGUGGGGAGCGAACCGGAUUAGAUACCCUGGUAGUCC
rnacentral:rRNA from 1 species